AUCGCUUCUCGGCCUUUUGGCUAAGAUCAAGUGUAGUAUCUGUUCUUAUCAGUAAUGUCUCUCUGGGAAAGUGGUUGAUUUGUGAUAACGGGAGCCUGGCGGCCGGGAACACCU
rnacentral:snRNA from 1 species